rnacentral:rRNA from 1 species
GAUGAACGCUGGCGGCGUGCCUAAUACAUGCAAGUCGAGCGAACAGAUACGGAGCUUGCUCCUUUGACGUUAGCGGCGGACGGGUGAGUAACACGUGGGUAACCUAUCUAUAAGACUGGAAUAACUCCGGGAAACCGGGGCUAAUGCCGGAUAACAUGUUGAACCGCAUGGUUCUACAGUGAAAGGCGGCUUUGCUGUCACUUAUAGAUGGACCCGGGCCGUAUUAGCUAGUUGGUGCGGUAACGGCUCACCAAGGCUACGAUACGUAGCCGACCUGAGAGGGUGAUCGGCCACACUGGAACUGAGACACGGUCCAGACUCCUACGGGAGGCAGCAGUAGGGAAUCUGCCGCAAUGGGCGAAAGCCUGACGGAGCAACGCCGCGUGAGUGAUGAAGGUCUUCGGAUCGUAAAACUCUGUUAUUAGGGAAGAACAAAUGCGUAAGUAACUGUGCGCGUCUUGACGGUACCUAAUCAGAAAGCCACGGCUAACUACGUG